ACAAAAGUAUUGAUUUAUUAUUAGCAAACGCGCAAAAGAUUUCGAAACGAAAUACUUAAAACAUUAGGUUUUAUUUAAUUAAAAUAAAUGCGUAGGCAUUUUUCUGCACUCCUUUACAGAUAAUCCGAUUGUUUGAACGUCUAAUAAGGUUACUGAGGUCAACUUGAUUUUAAGUGUGUAUUAAAAUAUAUCAAUGACUCGGGAGAAACCUACACAAUAUAAAUAGGCUUAGGUACGGCCGGCAAGUCAUUCGAAGUAAAUACAAUUAUUAUUACUAUUGUAAAGUCGUUUCUCACACGGUUCCGUCGCCAUGAAUUCUAAGUACGCGGUUUUGGUUUGUUUUUUGGUUUUUGCGUUUGCUUUCAACGGCGUGAACGCUUUUUGCAAACUGGAUGAUUGUUGGGGUUAUUGCCGUAGCCAGUACGGUGAGGUGUUCGGAGUAAUUCGAGGAGUAUGCGAAUCUUCGAACAAUGACUAUUGUCGGUGUUAUGGUAAACCCGUAGGUCCACAAUUCUUCAAUAACAUCGGUCCCGAGCAAAAACUUAAUUGAAAAAUGCUCAAGAUAUCUUCUUAAACAUCUACGUCAAUUCAACAAGAAAAAUGAAAAUUAAUGUCACAAUUUCAAAACAUUGGAAUAUAGUAUUUCUUUUGUAAUACUAUUCAGUUACCUUUAAUGAGUUGCACAUUGAAGUUAACUAAAUAAAGUUAUGUGUAGAUAAUAAAUAAUGAUUUUUACAAUAAACUCGACAUUUUAAUAAA